GCGAAAGUGGUGGAACUGGUAGACGCGCUAGGUUCAGGGUCUAGUGCCCGCAAGGGCGUGGGGGUUCGACUCCCCCCUUUCGCACCA
rnacentral:tRNA from 1 species